rnacentral:rRNA from 1 species
AUGUCGGAAAAGGUUAAAAUAUUUGGUUGGAGGGUUGCGACCAAUACCCUGGCUACCAAGAAGAAUAAAUUCAAACGAACUCUGGAGGUGGAUACUACGUGUAGCAUAUGUGGAAAUGCAGAGGAAGAGGAGUUCCACAGUGUGAUAGAAUGCACCAAAAGCAAGGCUUUGAGAUUUGCAAUGAGAGAGGUUUGGGACCUUCCAGAUGAGGCGACAUUCAGAAACACUGGCAGAGAUUGGCUACAGAUCAUCCUGGACACAUGCAAUGCAGACAUGCGGGAUAAAAUCCUUUUACUGAUAUGGAGAGCAUGGUUACUACGGGACAACUGCAUGUAUGGGGAUGGGAAAGAAUCCAUCUCGAGAUCUGCAUCCUUCCUGACAAGAUAUGAAGAAGAAAUCCGAAACUGUCUUGUCGCCACAGAUAGCGAGAGGGGGAAAGAGCCAGUGGGAAGCAAGAACAUACGUAAUGUGAGGCGGGAAAAUGUUGCAGGCAACCAUUGGUAUGCUCCUCCAGCGGGAUUUGCAAAACUGAAUACGGACACAACAUACAACCCUGACUCGGGACUGAGCUAUGCCGGAGCUGUGGCUAGAGACCACAAGGGAAUCCCCGUUGUCUCCCUUGGGCAGAAUACUGGGACCUGCAUGGACGUAAUGGAGGCUGAAGCAUUGCUAUUAGAGAAGGCCUGA